GACGAACCGUCCUAACGUUAUUCGGAUUCACUGGGCGUAAAGCGUGCGUAGGCGGUUCGUUGUGUCUGUGGUGAAAGCCCCGGGCUUAACCUGGGAAUGGCCAUGGAAACUGGCGAGCUGGAGUGUGGCAGAGGGGGGUGGAAUUCCGCGUGUAGCAGUGAAAUGCGUAGAGAUGCGGAGGAACACCGAUGGCGAAGGCAGCCCCCUGGGCUAACACUGACGCUGAGGCACGAAAGCGUGGGGAGCAAACAGG
rnacentral:rRNA from 1 species